AUUGAACGCUGGCGGCAGGCCUAACACAUGCAAGUCGCACGAGUGGCGGACGGGUGAGUAAUGUCUGGGAAACUGCCCGAUGGAGGGGGAUGACUAAUGGAAACGGUAGCUAAUACCGCAUACCAUCGGAUGUGCCCAGAUGGGAUUGGCUAGUAGGUGGGGUAACGGCUAACCUGGGCGACGAUCCCUAGCUGGUCUGAGAGGAUGACCAGCCACAGUGGACCGGGGACACGGUCCAGACUCCUACGGGAGGCAGCAGUGGGGAAUAUUGCACAAUGGGCGCAAGCCGGAUGCAGCCAUGCCGCGGGUAUGAAGAGGGCCUUCGGGUUUUAAAGUACUUUCAGCGAGGAGGCGUUACUCGCAGAAGAAGCACCGGCUAACUCCGUGCCAGCAGCCGCGGUAAUAC
rnacentral:rRNA from 1 species